UACAGAGGGUGCGAGCGUUACUCGGAAUUACUGGGCGUAAAGCGUGCGUAGACGGUUAUCUAAGUCGGAUGUGAAAGCCCCGGGCUCAACCUGGGAAUUGCAUUCGAGACUGAAUAGCUAGGGUACGGUAGAGGGAAGUGGAAUUUCCGGUGUAGCGGUGAAAUGCGUAGAUAUCUAUCGGAACGCCAAAGGUGAAGACAGGCCGCUGGGCUUGUACUGACGCUGAGGAACGAAAGCGUGGGGAGCAAACGGG
rnacentral:rRNA from 1 species